rnacentral:lncRNA from 1 species
UCAUUGAGUAGUGAAAUUUGGACUCACAUCUUGCUUGAAAAUGUACCAAGCACUUGGCUAUAGAAGAUAGAAUGGAAAUUAAGACAAAAAAAUCCUAAUUCUAAUAGAAUAAUAAAUAAAAUCUAAUUAAAUCUUAAUAAAUCUAAAUAACCUUUAAACAAAUUUUUAAAAAAAUCUUCAAGAAAUUAUAAAAGAAACAAUAAGAAAUAUGAAAAGAAUUUCAAAGAAAUCUACAACAAAUCUUAAAAGAAUAUCUAAAAAAUCCUAAAAAAAUAUUAGAAUAAUCAAAAAUAUAACUUAAAUCAAUCUCAACGAAAUCCUAAUUUAACCUUAGUUAAAAUCCUAAUGGAUCUUAAUCAAAUCUUGGGCCAAAUCUUAAACCCUAAAUAAAUCCUAAAUCUUAAAUCUUAAGCAAAUUUUAAAUCUUAUAUUCUAAGAAAAUCCUAAAUCCUAAAUCCUAAGCAAAUCCUAAAGCUUAAAUCCUAAAUCCUAAACAAAUCCUAAAUCCUAAAUCCUAAGAAAAUCCUAAAUCAAAUCCUAAAUAAUUCCUAAAUCCUAAAUCAAAUCGUAAAUCUUAAGCAAAUCUUAAAUCCUAGAUCCUAAAAAAAUCUUAAAUCAAACUCUAAAUAAAUCCUAAAUCCUUAAUCCUAAGCAAAUUCUAAUUCAAAUACUAAACUCUAAUCUAAUUCUAAAUCCUAACUAAAUCUUAAUCAAAUCUUAAAUCCUAAUCAAA